CUUGGUUGGUUUCUGCCACUCUUUGAGUGGUUGAGCACAAACAGGAAGUGUGGACAUUGUUAGGACUCUUGUCCUGGAAAACAUUUAUCUCUUCUGUCGGAUGGACAUCCUCAGCCUGAAGUGAAUUCAAAAUGAUGCCACGAAUACGACAGGACAGACUGGACUGUUAGCAUUAGCAUGGACGAAGAUGGAGGAAGGACUCGAUGUUACAACAGGAACGCACGGAGUAUCUGAAGGAAAAGAGAGGAGGAUGGAUAUAAUACGAAGAAUCAGGAGUUUCGAGUUAAAGUGAAGCCACGAGGAGAAACACGCACUUACAUCAACGCUCCUUCUCCUCCAUCAUCACCUCCUUUUCUCCUCCAUCUCCUCCUCUCCUGUGGAUGGAGAGAGG